GAUGAACGCUGGCGGCGUGCCUAAUACAUGCAAGUCGAGCGAACAGACGAGGAGCUUGCUCCUCUGACGUUAGCGGCGGACGGGUGAGUAACACGUGGAUAACCUACCUAUAAGACUGGGAUAACUUCGGGAAACCGGAGCUAAUACCGGAUAAUAUAUUGAACCGCAUGGUUCAAUAGUGAAAGACGGUUUUGCUGUCACUUAUAGAUGGAUCCGCGCCGCAUUAGCUAGUUGGUAAGGUAACGGCUUACCAAGGCAACGAUGCGUAGCCGACCUGAGAGGGGGAUCGGCCACACUGGAACUGAGACACGGUCAAGACUCCUACGGGAGGCAGCAGUAGGGAAUCUUCCGCAAUGGGCGAAAGCCUGACGGAGCAACGCCGCGUGAGUGAUGAAGGUCUUCGGAUCGUAAAACUCUGUUAUGAGGGAAGAACAAAUGUGUAAGUAACUAUGCACGUCUUGACGGUACCUAAUCAGAAAGCCACGGCUAACUACGUG
rnacentral:rRNA from 1 species